AGAGUUUGAUCCUGGCUCAGGAUGAACGCUAGCGGCAGGCCUAACACAUGCAAGUCGAGGGGCAUCACGAGGUAGCAAUACUUUGGUGGCGACCGGCGCACGGGUGCGUAACGCGUAUGUAACCUACCUAUAACAGGGGCAUAACACUGAGAAAUUGGUACUAAUUCCCCAUAAUAUUCGGAGAGGCAUCUCUCCGGGUUGAAAACUCCGGUGGUUAUAGAUGGACAUGCGUUGUAUUAGCUAGUUGGUGAGGUAACGGCUCACCAAGGCAACGAUACAUAGGGGGACUGAGAGGUUAACCCCCCACAUUGGUACUGAGACACGGACCAAACUCCUACGGGAGGCAGCAGUGAGGAAUAUUGGUCAAUGGACGCAAGUCUGAACCAGCCAUGCCGCGUGCAGGAAGACGGCUCUAUGAGUUGUAAACUGCUUUUGUACUAGGGUAAACUCUUCUACGUGUAGGAGCCUGAAAGUAUAGUACGAAUAAGGAUCGGCUAACUCCGUGCCAGCAGCCGCGGUAAUACGGAGGAUCCAAGCGUUAUCCGGAUUUAUUGGGUUUAAAGGGUGCGUAGGCGGUUUGAUAAGUUAGAGGUGAAAUCCCGGGGCUUAACUCCGGAACUGCCUCUAAUACUGUUAGACUAGAGAGUAGUUGCGGUAGGCGGAAUGUAUGGUGUAGCGGUGAAAUGCUUAGAGAUCAUACAGAACACCGAUUGCGAAGGCAGCUUACCAAACUAUAUCUGACGUUGAGGCACGAAAGCGUGGGGAGCAAACAGGAUUAGAUACCCUGGUAGUCCACGCAGUAAACGAUGAUAACUCGUUGUCGGCGAUACACAGUCGGUGACUAAGCGAAAGCGAUAAGUUAUCCACCUGGGGAGUACGUUCGCAAGAAUGAAACUCAAAGGAAUUGACGGGGGCCCGCACAAGCGGAGGAACAUGUG
rnacentral:rRNA from 1 species